UCAACACUUGGAUAUACUUUAUCACAGACUGUGUGCCCAACUCCAAUGCAUAUGGUGAAGACAUAACCCAGAGUGUGACUGUAUUUGGAGAAGGGAUCUUUGAACAGUAAUUAAGUCUGGUGGGGAGAGGAACCCUCACAGCCCAGGUCUCUAGCAGAUAUUCUAGUUCGCAUGCUCCAUAUGAAGGAAGCCAUGUAUUAAAUUGGGAUGAGCCCUUGCAUUUCAUCACAGAAAUGUUUUGGCCACAAGGCAUGUGGGAUCUUAGCUCCUCCACCAGGGAUCAAACCUCACACCCUUUGCAGUGGAAGGGAAAGUCUUAACCACUGGUCCACCAGGAAGUUCCUCAGCAUUUCAAUGUGAAGAGAGCAAGAAUAACCUUCAAAGAAGUUUUUGAUCUGAGAUACCCAUUUUCUUGGACCGUAAUCUUAACCCAUAUGCCAUCUAACUAUGAACUUCUUUUUGAUGAGAAAAGCUGAAAAGGGAGAGAAAUGGUCUGGAUCUAAUCUGGCAGGCAGAAGUAUAUGCUACAAAGAAAGGAGAAAGCAGGGCCAUUUUCACCAGACAGAAAGAAGAAAGGAAUGCAGUGGAAGAGCCAGGGAGUCAGUGAACGUGUCUGAAAAACAAAGCUAUCGCUGAGAAGUCCCUGCGAGAACCCUUUUCACCUGUGUAUCCAAAGGUCAGGUCCUGAGCCCAUUUCACUACAUUAGCAUCGUCGGAACUAAGCCUUA